rnacentral:rRNA from 1 species
GACGAAGGUGGCGAGCGUUGUUCGGAAUCACUGGGCAUAAAGCGCACGUAGGCGGCGGCGUAAGUCGGAUGUGAAAUCCCUCGGCCUAACCGAGGAACUGCGUCCGAUACUGCGUUGCUUGAGGACCAGAGGGGUGCAUGGAAUUUCCGGUGGAGCGGUGAAAUGCGUUGAUAUCGGAAGGAACGUCGGCGGCGAAAGCGGUGCACUGGCUGGUUUCUGACGCUGAGGUGCGAAAGCCAGGGGAGCAAACGGG